GAUGCCCUACGGGAGGCAGCAGUAGGGAAUCUUCCACAAUGGACGAAAGUCUGAUGGAGCAACGCCGCGUGAGUGAAGAAGGGUUUCGGCUCGGAAAGCUCUGUUGGUAGUGAAGAAAGAUAGAGGUAGUAAUUGGCCUUUAUUUGACGGUAAUUACUUAGAAAGUCACGGCUAACUACGUGCCAGCAGCCGCGGUAAUACGUAGGUGGCAAGCGUUGUCCGGAUUUAUUGGGCGUAAAGGGAACGCAGGCGGGCUUUUAAGGCUGGUGUGAAAGCCUUUGGCUUAAC
rnacentral:rRNA from 1 species